rnacentral:rRNA from 1 species
UACAGAGACUGCAAGCGUUAUUCGGAUUCACUGGGCGUAAAGGGUGCGCAGGCGGCCAAGUGCGUUAGGCGUGAAAGCCCGGGGCUUAACCCCGGAAUUGCACCUAAAACUACAUGGCUAGAGCAUUGGAGAGGGUAGCGGAAUUCACGGUGUAGCAGUGAAAUGCGUAGAUAUCGUGAGGAACACCGGUGGCGAAGGCGGCAUCCUGGACCGACACUGACGCUGAGGAGCGAAAGCCAGGGGAGCAAACGGG